GAUGAACGCUGACAGAAUGCUUAACACAUGCAAGUCAUUGGCGAAGCUGCGCUUGCGCAGUCUAGCCAAGGCGGACGGGUGAGUAACGCGUAAGGAACUUGCCCUGCAGACAGGGAUAACAGACGGAAACGACUGAUAACACCUGGUAUUGUCAGGCUGGCGCAUGCCGGCCUGAUGAAAGGAGACGCUGCAGGAGAGCCUUGCGUCCUAUUAGCUAGUUGGUGGGGUAACGGCCCACCAAGGCGAUGAUAGGUAGCCGGCCUGAGAGGGUGAACGGCCACAAGGGGACUGAGAGACGGCACUUACUCCUACGGGAGGCAGCAGUGGGGAAUAUUGGACAAUGGGGGCAACCCUGAUCCAGCAAUUCUGUGUGCACGAAGAAGGUUUUCGGAUUGUAAAGUGCUUUCAGCAGGGAAGAAGAAAGUGACGGUACCUGCAGAAGAAGCGACGGCUAAAUACGUG
rnacentral:rRNA from 1 species